CACACACACACUCACACAAAGAUCCUUCUCGAUCUCUCUUCUCCCUUCUCCCAGUCCAAUCACACACACACUCACACAGAGAUCUCUCGAUCUCUCUUCUCCCUUCUCCCAGUCCAACCACACACACUCACACAGAGAUCUCUCUUCUCUCUGCACCGAGACCCACACGCACACCAUCGCACCUGCUCCGGCGAGUUCCUUCAAUUUCUCAGGUAGGUAAGCUUCGGGUUUUUCUUUUUAUAUUCUAGAUCGAAGCUUAGAUGUGAAAUUGAAGUUAUAUGUCGUGUUUUUACAAGGUUUUUGGGAUGAAAUCGACUCGGGAAUAAGUACACCCAUCUCCGGCGAGGCUAGGGGGCAGUUUUACAGUCGCCCGAAGCUGUAGAAGCUCCGGCGUUCGUCUCCGACGUGCACAGUUCUGAAAUUUCGCGAUAAUAUCGCGAUAUUAUGACGAAAACACCUUGGAUACCAUUUAAAAUAUCGGUUCGGGAAAAAACCGAUAAUAUCGGCGAUAUAUCGCCGAUAUUAUCGAUAUUUUCUUCCAUGCUUCCGAGAUAUGAAAAAAUAUCGUCUCUGGAAUUUUGGAAUUGACUAUUCUCUCUUAUCUGCUGGCAUUGAUUUCCAGUCUUGCACUCUUCCAGUCUGACAAGCCUGCACGGUUUGGAAGAAUUGAGAUCCGAUCCUGAUGGAGUACGGGAUUGGAGAUUCGUACCAUUUUAAUAUUAGCUUUUUGUUGCAGUCAUAUUUAGAAUAGGUAUGUUAUUUUAAUAUUAGUUUUUUGUUGCAAUCAUAUUUAGAAUAUGUAUGUGAUUGUAUAAGGAUUCGUUUAGAUGUGUUUUUAAAAUGAAUGAAAUCGUUUUUAGAAAAAAUAUUUUUGGGUUUCUACAAGAAGCACCAGUUAUGUGCUUCUUCUAUGAAGCACUUUAAGUGUUUUUUCAGGAUUUACUUGCAUCUUUACUAAUGAUUGGUUCUAAAAAUAUUUUCAUUAAAAGCGCUUUUAGUCAUUUCAAAAGCACAUCCAAACGAGCU
rnacentral:lncRNA from 1 species